CACUUCUAAACCAUCUAGUGAUCUCCUGGACCUCCAGCCAGACUUUUCCUCUGGAGGGGCAGCAGCAGCCGCAGCACCAGCACCACCACCACCUGCUGGAGGAGCCACUGCAUGGGGAGACCUUUUGGGAGAGGAUUCUUUGGCUGCACUUUCCUCUGUUCCCUCUGAAGCACAGAUUUCAGAUCCAUUUGCACCAGAACCUACCCCUCCUACUACAACUGCUGAAAUUGCAACUGCCUCAGCUUCUGCCUCCACUACUACAACUGUUACUGCUGUCACUGCUGAAGUGGAUCUCUUUGGAGGUAGUGCAGAGGCUGCACCUGAGCUGGACCUCUUUGCAAUGAAGCCACCUGAGACCAGUGUUCCUGUAGUUACCCCUACAGCUAGCACAGCCCCUCCAGUUCCCGCAACUGCUCCUUCUCCUGCUCC
rnacentral:lncRNA from 10 species